GUGGGGAAUAUUGGGCAAUGGGCGGAAGCCUGACCCAGCGACGCCGCGUGGGGGAAGAAGUCUUUCGGGAUGUAAACCCUUGUUGUACGGGACGAAGGAAGUGACGGUACCGUACGAGGAAGCCCCGGCAAACUACGUGCCAGCAGCCGCGGUAAUACGUAGUGGGCGAGCGUUGUCCGGAAUCACUGGGCGUAAAGCGCACGUAGGCGGGCUGUCAAGUCGGCCGUGAAAGGCACGGGCUCAACCUGUGCAUGUCGGUCGAUACUGGCGGUCUGGAGUAUGGGAGAGGGAACUGGAAUUCCCGGUGUAGCGGUGAAAUGCGUAGAUAGCGGGAGGAACACCAGUGGCGAAGGCGGGUUCCUGGCCCAUGACUGACGCUGAGGUGCGAAAGCCGGGGGAGCGAACAGGAUUAGAUACCCGGGUAGUCC
rnacentral:rRNA from 1 species